rnacentral:rRNA from 1 species
AUUGAACGCUGGCGGCAGGCCUAACACAUGCAAGUCGAACGAGUGGCGGACGGGUGAGUAAUUUAUGGGAAACUGACUGAUGGAGGGGGAUAACUACUGGAAACGGUAGCUAAUACCGCAUACCAUUGGAUGUGCCCAGAUGGGAUUAGCGAGUAGGUGGGGUAAAGGCUCACCUAGGCGACGAUCCCUAGCUGGUCUGAGAGGAUGACCCGCCACACUGGAACUGAGACACGGGCCAUACUCCGACGGGAGGCAGCAGUGGGGAAUAGUGCACAAUGUGCGGAAGCCUGAUGCAGCCAUGCCGCGUGUAUGAAGAAGGCCUUCGGGUUGUAAAGUACUUUCAGCGAGGAGGCGUUACCCGCAGAAGAAGCACCGGCUAACUCCGUGCCAGCAGCCGCGGUAAUAC